rnacentral:lncRNA from 1 species
GAUUUAGUUCGAGUUUGAUUAUCAGUGUUUGAAUUUUAUUGGUUGAGAAAAGCGCCGACGGCGCGAACUAGAGAUAACAAACAAUCAAAACUGCGCAUGCUUCAUAAAUUUGAAAACUUUGUUUACUUCAAUCGAUUACGAUUUCUGAUUAGCUCAGCGUCUCGUUCGCUAGCAUCUUUUGUUUUAAGAAAUGGCCGAACACCGCGUCACUGGAUAUCCGGCCGGAUCAGCGUACCGAUAAGACGUGUACAUUGGUAGUAUAUUCUGAUACAUAUUUAAUACAGAAAGAUGCAGUGACAUUUAAUCAACCCGUGUUUAGUUUCGUUUAAUGUUUCGUGCGGAUUAAUGGUGAAAUUGUGCAGUGUGCCUCAGUGGACCCAUCAGUCAGUUGCCGAUCAGGAUCGGCAGGGGGAUCGGAUGGUACCCCAACGCGACACCGACAGACACUGGUUGGCUGCCACUGGUGGGCCUCAAGUCCCAACACGAGAUACACAGGUGGAUCGAAGGGUGGGGAGGAAAACCUCGAAGCGAGAAUGGUAGAGAGAGACAGAGGGAGACAGAGGGAGACAGAGGGAGACAGAGGGAGACAAGACUUGUUGCUAUGGAGAUCGACCGUUUUUACUUUCCUCAAUGGAGCUAGCGACUCGACUGGCAAGGAAGUGAGCGUACCUGGUAUGAAAAGUAAAAA